rnacentral:rRNA from 1 species
AUUGAACGCUGGCGGAAUGCUUUACACAUGCAAGUCGAACGGCAGCACGGGGGCAACCCUGGUGGCGAGUGGCGAACGGGUGAGUAAUACAUCGGAACGUGCCCAGUCGUGGGGGAUAACGUAGCGAAAGUUACGCUAAUACCGCAUACGAUCUACGGAUGAAAGCGGGGGACCGUAAGGCCUCGCGCGAUUGGAGCGGCCGAUGUCAGAUUAGGUAGUUGGUGAGGUAAAGGCUCACCAAGCCGACGAUCUGUAGCUGGUCUGAGAGGACGACCAGCCACACUGGGACUGAGACACGGCCCAGACUCCUACGGGAGGCAGCAGUGGGGAAUUUUGGACAAUGGGCGCAAGCCUGAUCCAGCCAUUCCGCGUGCAGGACGAAGGCCCUCGGGUUGUAAACUGCUUUUGUACGGAACGAAAAGGUCUCUCUUAAUACGGGGGACUCAUGACGGUACCGUAAGAAUAAGCACCGGCUAACUACGUGCCAGCCGCCGCGGUAA